CCCUUAGAUGUUCUGGGCCGCACGCGCGCUACACUGAUGCAUUCAACGAGCCUAUCCUUGACCGACAGGUCCGGGUAAUCUUUGAAUCUGCAUCGUGACGGGGAUAGAUUAUUGCAAUUAUUAAUCUUCAACGAGGAAUGCCUAGUAGGCGCAAGUCAUCAGCUUGCGUCGAUUACGUCCCUGCCCUUUGUACACACCGCCCGUCGCUACUACCGAUUGAAUGGUUUAGUGAGAUCUCCGGAUUGGCUCUGUAGGUCCCGCAAGGGAUUUAUUAGUAGCCAAGAAGCUGCUCAAACUUGAUCAUUUAGAGGAAGUAAAAGUCGUAACA
rnacentral:rRNA from 1 species